GAGAUGUUGGUGUUUUAUUGUCUUACGAAUUCGCAAUAACGGAUACGUUUAGCAGUUCGUGUAAUUGACAUUAAUCUAAACUUACUGAUGAUUUUAUAACAUGGGCGUCGAAUCCAAUAUUAAUCAUGCUGAGGUUUUCACGACGGGAUAAUGUGUAUAAAUGCAGUUAUAAAAUUAAAAGGGACAAGAUAGUCGACGUGACCUUCAUGUUUCCAUGGCAAUCAGUCAAUCACAUGUUACGUUUAUGCUGCGGUCAUUCGCGCAGUAUCCAUGAUUUUAAGCGGCAUAAAACACUUAUGUUAACUCCUUUGUACGAAAAUGUCAUGUCGUAGCCCUUCAAAUUAGAAAAGUGAUGAUGAUCUUGUCAAUGCUGAGAUUUUCAUGCAUCAACAGCCACUACAUCUGGAUCAGAUUGAACAAGAAACAGACAGCAAGGGUUGUCAGGUCAGAAACAGAAUGACACACAAACACAAGAAACUUCACAGGCAGAUCAACAUGCAAUUUGAAGACGUGUGAUAAAAUACAGAGAUGUGAAGUCGUGUGUCUUUCCAGAUGCCCAAAUCAUUCCCCCUUAAAAGAUGAGCCUGAAGAGGAGAUUUGGGAAGAUGCUGUUUCAUAAGUCGCUUUGCCAGAUCACCUGUGGUCGGGAUGUCUGCUAACAAGAUGCCUUGCUGGUUUGGGCGAGUUUAAAGUCUAACACAGACAGUCCAGAGGUUCUGAAGUCCAUCUUCGAUCUCAUUGAUGCUGUCAUCGUAUUAAGUACAGCAUGAGCCAGAAUGGAUGGGUGGUGGUGGCCAUAAGAAGACUGUCAACUAAAUCAACAACAAAAUUCAUAUUUGCAUUUUUUCUUGAAUAAAGUUUUUCUAUUCAGAUGAAUAAAAUGACUUUUAAACAUGAU